rnacentral:lncRNA from 10 species
CCGAGAUCGUGUCACUGCACUCCAGCCCUGGCUACAGAGCAAGACUCUGUCUCAAAAACAAACAACAAACAAAAAAUGAUUCCCUUCUCUCGUUGUUUUAGACAUCUGCCUAACUGCCACAGCUGCUAAAGGCCUACAAGAGGAUUGGGGCAGAAUAGAACAAAACAAAAGCAAAAAAGAGAUUUCUUCCACUCUGAUUCAAAGGGGCCUCUCAUUCUUUCUUUGCAGAGGAGAACUAGAGAGCCUUUCUUGGAACUAUUUUUGCCUGCCCCUACUUUUCAGUUCUGGGUUUCUGGCAAGCCCAGGAGAAAUCAGCGAGGAGAUACCACAGGGGAAAAAAAACAGGAAAUUCACUGCUGGUUCAGUGGAAUUUAAAGUUCUGGCUUUCUUCUCCAUUUCACCUGCUAAAAUUUACUUCUCAGAGUCCUUGGAUAGCUGCUCAACAAUGCAUUCUGUCCAGGGUUUAUUAAUUGCAUUUUAAUAAGAGAAGACAGUGUAGCAUGCUUCUUCUGUAAUGGCAGAGAAAUAACCUUUUGUUUUCUGAGCCAGUCUCACUGUCACCCAGGCUGGAGAACAAUGGCACAAUCACAGCUCACUGCAGCCUUGGCCUCCCAUGCUCAAAGAGAUCCUCCCACCUCAGCCUCCCAAGUAGCUGGGACCACAGGGCAUGUAUCACUACACCUUACUAAUAUAUUUUUAAUUGUUUUGUAGAGAUGAGGUCUCCCUAUGUUGCCCAGGUUGGUCUCAAACUCCUGGGCUAAUGAGAUCCUCCCAUCUCAGCUUCCCAAAGUGCUAGGAUUAUAGGCACGUGCCAACCCAUUGGCUUCAAAAUGCUCUUAUACUCACUCAUCAUCAGUUAAUAAAAUUCUCCAUUCAAACCUUUCCUCAACUAAUAGUAAUGCUCCGGUAAUCAGAAUUUUUCAAUCAUAGUAUCAAAAGAAAGCAAUUACUUUAAGCAACCUAGGACAAACAGUUAAACUGUCUAUCAACCUAGUGAUGAUAAAGGCAUUUACCAGAGCUACUAAGCUCAAGAAAAAUAAAUCAGAGGGCAAAAUAGACGAAAGAAAAAAGUAGUCAAUACAAUGCUAUACAUGUACAUAAAAGAGGUGAAAAACUCUGCAACAGCUGAAAAUUUCAGCACAAAUUAUUUCUAUCACAUUUCUGUGGGAAAAAAUGGCCUGCUUUUGUAAAUAAAGCUCUACUGGAACCUAGCCACACCCAUUCAUUUAUACAUUGACUAUGGUUAUUUUCUCCCUAUAAGGGCAGAGCUGAGUAAUUGCAACAGACUGUCUGCCUUGCAAAAUUUAAAAUUUACUCCCUAGUCCUUUACAGAAAGUUUGCUGACUCUUGUUUUGGAGGAAAGGUUUUCAGUGGUCUGCUUUCUGAUCAAAUUAAUGAUGGAAAAGACAAAGUGCUUUAUACAGUCGACAGAGCCAUUUUUAAAAUUAGGUUGCAGUGAGCCAAGAUCGUGCCACUGCACACCAGCCUGGGCGACAGAGUGAGACUGUGUGUCAAAAAUAGAAAAGAUAGUAUUAAGCUAGAAUGUUUUAUCAGGCUCAGUAGUGAUAGUGGUCUUGUCUCUGCUUCACUCCCAAGUACACUACAAACUGAGACUUUGAAGCACUAGUCUAUUAUAAACUAUUUAUAAAACUGAUCUAUUUGGCAAUCCUUGCUAUUUAAAGAGUCAAUAAAUCAAAUUGAUGGAUAUAAAGCAGAAUCAAGAGAAGCAAGAUAGCAAGAUGAUUUUGGGAUUUGUUCACAUUACAGCUCACGUAAUACUGAUCUAGUCAUUAGAAAUUAUUAUAAAGCUAUUCAAGCACACAAUUUUUUUUUUUUUUGAGAUGCAGUCUUGUUCUGUCACCUAGGCUGGAGUGCAGUGGUAUGCUAUCAGCUCACUGCAAACUCCGCCUCCCAGGUUCAAGCAAGUCUCCUGCCCCAGCCUCCCGAGUAGUUGGGACUGAUUACAGGCAUCUGCCACCAUGUCAGGCUAAUUUUUUUUUUGUAUUUUUAGUAGAGAAGGUGUUUCACCAUGCUGGCCAGGCUGGUCUCGAACUCCUGACCUCAAGCAAUCCACCCGCCUCGGCCUCCCAAAGUGCUGGGAUUUGGGAUUACAGGCAUGCACCACCAUGCCUGGCCCGAAGCACACAAUUCUUAGGUGGUUAUAAAACACAAAGAAAUAUGUAGAUUGAGUAUUUCCUGAUUUGAAUUCCUUUUUCUCAUCUUAAAUGCCACCUCUCUGAUCUAACUCAGUGGUUCUCAACUUGUAGUAAUUUUGCCACCCAGAAGACAUGUGGCAACAUUUGGAGACAUUUUUUAUCACAACUGGGGUGGUGGUGGUGUUGCCAGCAUGCAGUGGAUAGAGGCCAGGGACACUGCUACACACGGUAUAAUUAACAGGAUAGUCAUUGACAACAGUGAAUUAUCUGAAUCAAAAUGUCAAGAAUGCUGAGGUUGAGAUACCCUAAUUUCACUUAAAGACUAGAUACUAAAAUAUUAAAUAUAAUCAGAGAUCAUGAUAAAUGAUCCCAAAGAAAAAUAGAUGUUCUAUAUUAAUAACAGCACACAAAUUGUAUGUCUGAAAAACAACACUUUAGUGGCAUGCCACAUUUUAUAUUUAAAACAUUUUCUUAGAGGCUGAGGUCUAAUAAAAAUAGAAUUUAGAAAUGUCUACAGGGACAAGAUAAUUAUAUUAUAACAAGACUUCUCUAUGUCGCCUGAUUAAAUGCAUUUUGGGAGCCCGAGGCAGGCGGAUCACUUGAGGUCAGGAGUUCAAGACCAGCCUGACCAACAUAGCGAAACCCGCCUCUAGUAAAAAUACCAAAAUUAGCCAGGUGUGGUGGCGCAGGCUUGUAGUCCCAGCUACUCGUGAGGCUGAGGCAGGAGAAUCACUUGAACCCAGGAGGCGGAGGCUACAGUGCACCAAAAAUCACACCACUGCACUUCAGCCUGGGAGACAGAGCAAGACAAGCGUGUCUCAAAAAAAGAAGUAAAUGACUGAGCUCAACUAUCUUGAAC